rnacentral:rRNA from 1 species
ACCUCGGUGACAGGUGACAGGUGGUGCAUGGUUGUCGUCAGCUCGUGUCGUGAGAUGUUGGGUUAAGUCCCGCAACGAGCGCAACCCUCGCCUCUAGUUGCCAGCAUUCGGUUGGGCACUCUAGAGGGACUGCCGGCGACAAGUCGGAGGAAGUGGGGAUGACGUCAAAUCAUCAUGCCCCUUAUGACCUGGGCUACACACGUGCUACAAUGGGCGGUACAAAGGGCUGCGAACCCGCGAGGGGGAGCGAAUCCCAAAAAGCCGCUCUCAGUUCGGAUUGCAGGCUGCAACUCGCCUGCAUGAAGCCGGAAUCGCUAGUAAUCGCGGAUCAGCAUGCCGCGGUGAAUACCGGUUCCCGGGCCUU